UACGAAGGGGGCUAGCGUUGUUCGGAUUUACUGGGCGUAAAGCGCACGUAGGCGGAUCGUUAAGUCAGGGGUGAAAUCCCGGGGCUCAACCCCGGAACUGCCUUUGAUACUGGUAGUCUCGAGUCCGGAAGAGGUGAGUGGAAUUCCGAGUGUAGAGGUGAAAUUCGUAGAUAUUCGGAGGAACACCAGUGGCGAAGGCGGCUCACUGGUCCGGUACUGACGCUGAGGCACGAAAGCGUGGGGAGCAAACAGGG
rnacentral:rRNA from 1 species